rnacentral:rRNA from 1 species
UACGUAGGGUGCGAGCGUUGUCCGGAAUUAUUGGGCGUAAAGAGCCUGUAGGUGGCUCGUUGCGUCGGGAGUGAAAACCUGCGGCUUAACCGCAGGCCUGCUUCCGAUACGGGCGAGCUAGAGUUCGGGCAGGGGAGACUGGAAUUCCUGGUGUAGCGGUGGAAUGCGCAGAUAUCAGGAGGAACGCCGGUGGCGAAGGCGGGUCUCUGGGCCGAUACUGACACUGAGAAGCGAAAGCGUGGGGAGCGAACAGG